AAUACAGAUGAUUUCACCAAGGAUUUUCUUAUUGCCAAAAAUCACAUCACCAAAGGUAAAUCUGAUGCUUUUACUUAAGGUAAUAAAAUUGAUCCCUGUUCUGUAUGAUUAGAUUUUUUAACUACUAUGUACUUGAAUUUCCUGCACAUGAGCCGGUUCGAAAUUGCUUCGUUGAAAUCUAGGGUUUAUCGUUAUUGAAUUGAAUCAGUAAUUCAGUAUAUUUAAUUUUCUCUCUCUUAAAUGUGUAGUAGAUUAUCCUAUACACCCUAUUGUACUCGAAAAUUGGUUGAAUUUGAUCAAUUAGUUUGUGAAUUUCUCAUUUUAUGUAGACCUUGAUUUCACAAAAUCUGUCACAAUUUCACGGUAUUUUGAGCAAUUGUUCUUGUUUAAUCGAGUAUUUGUAUCUAGAUAUAAUGUUAGACCAGUGAAUUAAUCAUAUAUAGAAUAUAAUGCAUUCUUUAGAUUUUCUGAAAAAAACUUAGGGAGUUAGGGUUACAUACAGCAUAAGCUUGAUGACAUUGGUUGAUUGCUUUUCAUGUGGUAAAUUGGUGAAUUACAGCAUAGAUAAUGUUGCCAUUGUUCUUGUAAAAAAAAAAUGAUGCCAUUGUUGCAGGUGCAAUCUGUGGUUGAAACAGGCUAUAAAUACUACCUCCGUUUCAUAUUAUUUGCAACAAUUUGACAUGGAGUAGAGAGGAAAAAUGUCUAAUCGUUGCAAAUACUAUGAAACGGAGGUAGUAUUUGUUGCUUGUGAGGUGGUUGUUCAAGAUCAUAAUUCCUUCAAUUUGUAAAUCUUCAGUUGCAGAAGGGCUCACUAUUGAAGGCAUACUCAAGAAUUGGACUAAGCUGAAGCCUUUGCUGUAACUUCUUUUUGUCCUUUUUCCUUAAAUUCUUGAUUUACCAACCUCUAGAAGAAGAAGUUAAGGUGGGGAAAGAAUGUAAUCAGGAUCUGAUGAAAGAGUACAUUGCUGCAGCAAAACGGCUGGAUAAUGGAACAGUGGUUAGUGUUCUGUAUAUGUAAUAUUAUCAAAGGGCCAUAUUCUCCACAUUUCACUAUGUCGUGUUUUGCUGAGCUUGAGUGAUGGCAUCUUUUUUCCCACUCAACAGUUUUAUCCUUCUUAAAUAAUUUGAAGAAAAUGCAUGCAUGAAAUAAAAUACAUUGAUUUUGUCUGCAUAUAUUACUUCAACAAAAACAAUGAUGAGUAUAACACUACAAAAUUUGGUUGGAGGGAAUUGUUGGUGUUUUUAUGAAAAUAAAUUAAGGAGGCAUUAUCUUGUGAGUGCUUAACCCUAAUUAACCAAGUUCUGAAAUUACACCAGGUGUCUUUUAGCAUUUAAAUUGUGCCUGCACAUUAGAAUUUGAUCUAAAAUCAAGUUUGCCUCAUAUUUUGAUUAAAUUAUGUCAUGUUGUCAUGUUCAAAUACAAGGUAGGAAAGUAUUCUUUGAUUUAUUCAGUUAACCAGAAGUACAUAUUCAUAGCAUCUAGGAUAUGAAAAGAGGAACAUGUAUAAUUGAAUUCAGGCUGGUGAGGACACCUAUCUGGGAUACUUUGCUUUGGAAAGGGGUCCUGACUCAUGGUCUGGUAGAAUGUGUUCAUGGCAUUGAGAGUAGUAUGAAACCUAAUCUUUGUCGAGUUAAUGCCCGGGUUAAAUGGGCCUGCAAAUGAGCAUCACUAUUCUCUGAUUUUGGCACACAUCUUAUUUUGGCUGGAUUAGGUAGGGCUGGGGCAGCAGCCCUUGGUUGCAUAGUAUGACAACUAUCAAUCUUGGACCCAACAGGCUUAGGGCAGAAAAAUCACAAGAGAACACCAUAACCUGACUGCAUCAUAGAAGAAGUAAAGUGUACCAUCUAGGUAGGGAAACUCAGCCAUCUUUGUGCAAUGCUGAAAUGGAAGAGAGAGUUUGGGGAAAUAAAGGAAAAGGGGGGAUACUUUUUUGGAGUUUAAUUGAGUAAGGAGAUGAGAAUACUUUUUAUAAGAUUUCUAAAAUGCUCGAAAUCAUAAAAGACGAGUAAGAGAAAGGAAAAGCUAAAGGAAAGGACAAACAGAGUGAGCAAAUAGGGGUGCGCACAACUCGAUAAUAGAUUUGGACAAGUUUCUUUCAAUAAAUGUAAUUACUCAGUCAACGUGGUUUUAUGACAAUUAUGAGAAAGUCGGGCUAAUUAAUAGCACCUUUAGAAUAAAUUUUUUAACCUUAUAGUAGUAUCGUGCUAAACUUAUAAUUAAGUACUUUUUUAAUGUUUGUGUAACCUACUUAGUAGAGAGAGAGAGAGUACAACCUAUAAUAAGAUUGAGAUAAAUAGGUUUUCUUAUAAAAUGUGUAACCAAAUGAAGGAUGUAUAUAUGCAAGUAAGACUUAACUAUAAAAUUUGCAAAUUUGUAAGGAAAAAAAAAAAGAAAGAGAGAAAAUGAAAUAUAUACCACUCAAAAAGAGAUUACUAAAAGACAUUACACGACCACACGGAUAGACAAUUAGGAUAAA